AUGGAUGCUUGGUGUGCAUUGCAAGAUGCUAUUGAACUACACACUUGGCAGGUCUUUGCCCUAAAGGUCAUUUUCAAAAUAAAUAAUUAUGCCACUUCCCUUUUCUCACAUUAACCCUAAGAGAGAAAGAGGAAGCGGGAAGCCCGCACACGGAAGCAAUUUGUGCGCAGACGUUCCUGGGCUAGGAGAGGAGCCUUCGGAUUGCUGCAGAGACGGUCGCCCGAGCCUGCUGCACCUUUACCGGCGGUGCGGAGAACUGCAGCGCGGCUCGGCGCGCACGGGCUCGUGGGUGCUCUAGGGCUGCGCAGCCACUGCUGUGUGGAGGACGGGGAGUGGCGGCUGAUAUGGCUGUUGGGUGUCCCAGUGCCCGCCCCGGCUUGGGGCCUCGCCCUGCCACUAUCUCCGAGGCCCACCGCCGGUGCCUCCCUGCAGGGCGGCUCCCCCCAAAACUGCCCGCAGCCAGCCCCCCAGAGCUGCACCCGCCCCCAGGACCGGCCCCUCGAGGACAGGGCCGGGACUUCCCUGGGCGGCUGCAGCCGUAAGCCGCGCGUUUUGUUAAACCCACACACUGCCAUUCAGGCCGCACUUGCCCGUUGCCAUGGACGUUUUUUGUGUUGUUGACACAAGCAGGGACACGAAAUCCCUUGACUUUGAGUUGCAGAUCGUGGGUGUUGGCGUCUCCCCUUUGUUACCGGGAAGGGUGGAAGGGGCUUCAGUCUCCAUUCUCACUUUCCUUGUCAAGGAGUUGGCUAAGCACCAGGAGUUUUCUCUUAGGCUUCUCUCAGGUCCCCUUUCCAUAAGAGGUGAAAAGUUUUCAGAGAGGUGGGCAGCUUUCUCUCUAUUCUCAAGGGACCACUUCACACACCCCUUUUCACCUCCAGAGUAGAUGGAACUGUGGAACCAUGGAACCCUGCCCGCUGUUGCUUCCGUCAUACCCUACUGGGACCAGAGCCACAAAAGCCCUAACUCUCUCCAGCCUGCAGGCAUCCCAACAAGAGUAAGCGAGGAGGCAGAGACCAGGAGGACAGCAAGAGGCUUUUACCCGCAGAGAGGGCCUGGGAACACAAUGCUGAACGUGGGUCCAACCACUGCUUCUCAAUGGGGUGGGAGAGUGGUGUGGGGAGAGCUGCGGGCAUUUAGAGCAAGACAGUGCCCCCCCCCAUGUAUGAAAUGUUCAGGGCUGCAUUGCCUCGUGAUAUCUAGCGGCCCUCCCCCACAACCUGUAUGUAUGAAAUGCAAGCAGCACCUCCCCAUCUUUGUGACAACCCAAAAUGCCACCUCCUAUGUCCAAGCACCCUCUAGAGAGUGAGAUGUUUCCUUAGGUUGAAAACCACUGUUAGAUCAUUUCUAAAAUAUGUCUCAAAAGACAUCAGUUCCUUAAAAUAUAAGUAGGUGUUACAUGAAAAAAGUAGUAUGCUAAUACCAGUAUCAUGUUAGGUUUGGGAAAUGGUGGGUUAAAAAGUGGAACAGGAUUUAUUUACAGGACCUCUUAGAACCUUUAAUAUAUAAAAAUAUAUGUUUAGCGGUUUUUGUUUUUGUUUUUUUUUUUUUUUUUUGAGAUGGAGUUUUGCUCUUAUUGCCCAGGCUGGAGUGCAAUGGCAUGAUCUCGGCUCACCGCAACUUCCACCUCCCGGGUUCAGUUAUUCUCCUGCCUCAGCCUCCCAAGUAGCUGGGAUUACAGGCAUGCACCACCAUGCCUGGCUAAUUUUGUAUUCUUUAGUAGAGAUGAGGUUUCUCCACGUUGGUCAGGCUGGUCUCGAACUCCCAAACUCAGGUGAUCCACCACUACCCCCGGGGUCAUAAAUAUAUGUUUUGAAUCACCAAGAGGGAGAUGGAGUAUGCAGAUCCCCAAAUUUAAUUGGCUCUGGAAUUCUUUCUUUGUGGGGCCCUUUUGGAUAGAACCCACCUUAGAUACCCAUGAACUACAUUUUGUUGUCCAGAGCACUCUCUGGGGACUUCUGUAUCCUCCCAGUGUGAAGUGCGGGAGUGAGCAGUCAAAAGGCCCUUAUGUUCUUACUGAAUUGAAUCACCUAGAAUGUGUGAAGAUACCAGGAAGGAGGCCAGAGCUUCAGGAAACCGCUGCAAAGAUGACCUCACAAAGAAACCAUUGUGGCGAGGCUUCUGGAGCACUCGAGGUGAUGUGACGUGUCCUGUUCCUGAGAGCGGGCCGUCCAGCUGGCGCCUUGAGUUUGCAUGGCUUGGGGAAAGGAAAAUAGCCUGAGUGUUUGGAAGAGAAGUAUGUGUGGAUGGAAUUAUUCAAAUGCUGAUGGAUGGACUGGGUCUCCUCUCCUGCUGGACUGGCAGCCUCUGUGUGGGAGGCUUUGCCCAGAAGAUGGGUCACAGCAGCUCUGGUGAGAUGCUGGAAACAUAAGCCCAGGCAGAUAUAAUGACAGCGAGUUACAGUAAACCAACAGCCAUCAGGUGCUCAGAAGGGAAGCCGAAGCCAGGGGACUCACUGUGCAGAGCAGAACGAGGAGUAGGACUCUCCUGUUCUGCAAAACACAAAGAGCAGAGUGUUUAAGCCCAAGGAUCAGCUUCCUCUAAAUGGAAGCCCAAGCCGUGCACGCUGAGCUCCAGGGCUGGGAAUACAAUCACCUGCCACAUGCGGGAGGGUGCCACCCAAACAUACCCAUUUCUCCCCGGGGCGUGGUCAGGGGCAGGGGAGACAGGGCCCUACCACCUUCUGUGUAAAACUGGGUGAGCAGCCCAGCGCCCAUCAUUCCAGAGCACCUCACCUGCACCCUCCCAGCCUUGUAAUCUGCGUUCUGCUCGCCAUGUGCUCUGUGCUAGUGAAACUGCCCUCAGAGCAGAAAUACACUGUUGGCCCUUAAGUUUUUCCAGACUAACCAGACUGGCCAAUGCUUGCAGCUCUGUGUUCAAAAUAAAAGUACCUAAGAAAGAAAAGAAAAGUGCAAGUAGGAAGUCCUCACUUCUCCGGGGCUGGUGGGCUCUGAGGAUCCUGCCUCGGCCUCUUGAACAGCUCAGAGUCACUUUAAAAAAAAAGAAAAGGCUGAGCAACCUUUCUUUGCACAUGGGUCACAGCCAAGCUUCUUAAACUUGGAUGACAGUAAACCUAUGACUAGAUAAUGAAAGCCACAAGUCUGGAGGCCCCGGCAGGGCUCUGCUGUGGAAUCUCUGGUGGCCCGUUCCAUAGGCCGGCGUCUCUUGUCUUCCCCAUAGCAGAAAUGCUUUCGUGAGUUUGAAACCCUCUGUGGUGACCUCUACAUCUUCUCAAGGUCAGGUCUCCACUUGUUCAUGGCUUCAUGCCCCCUACCCUGCAUCCCUGUCCACUGCAAGGAAGGUGGAAAUCCAACCCACCCGCCACAGCGCAGCCCACACUCACCACCCUGCCCGACAGGAACAUGACGGAAGGUUUCCAACUCAAACCAAAGUUACUCAGCAAAGCUUCCUGCCAGGCAGUCGUGCUGGAGGGCGCAGCGUGCCUCCCUCGGCCUUUUCUGUUCUAUGAAACUUCUCUGCCGUAAGCACUUGAGAGCCUCCCCACUUCCUGGGGAGAGUGGACGGAACUUCAAAGCAGGCACUGCUACAGCUUCGAAGCCCCUGGGUUGCUUCAAAGACUCUGUCUCCUCCCAGUCUGAAGCUUCUGGUGAAUGUUUCUCCCUCAUUUCUGAAACAACAGAGCUGCUGAAGUUUACAACGUCCCCCAAGGCAUUUCGGUGUUUCUGCCUUUAAUCUAGGGCCCAAAUGAGCACCCACAAGAAUGCCCCGGACCCUGACCGCCUCAGGAUGUGUCCUGCAAUUUGCAUCCCAGAGAUGCCUCCGCCUCCACUGCAGCCACCUCCUGGGCCACCCCUGCCUCCUCCCUUUCUCCAUCAUGCCAAAAAGUGCCCUGGUCCUCUGACAGUGGAAGAUGGGAUGCAACUAAGGGUCAGGAUGGUCUAUGUGAUUUUUGUACACUAUUCCAGAAUAGUAUGUGGUUGCUUUAAAAAGAAGGCUGGGCACAGUGGCUCACACCUGUAAUCCCAGCACUUUGGGAGGCUGGGGCCGGAGGAUCAUGAGAUCAGGCGUUCAAGACCAGCCUGACCAACAUGGUGAAAUCCUGGCUGUAGUAAAAAUACAAAAAGUAGCCAGGUGUGGUUAUGAAUGUAUGUAAUCCCAGCUAUUCAGGGGGGUGAGGCAGGAGAAUUGUUUGAACCUGGGAGGUGGAGUUUGCAGUGAGCCGAGAUCACUCCACUGCACUCCAGCCUGGGCAACAGAGCGAGACUCUGUCUCAAAAGUAAAUAAAAAGAAAAAAAAUGUGUCUUUCAAAUUUUUGAAGCCCUUUGAUUUCAGGAAGCCAUGGGUCGUGUUUAGCCUGUGGCUCUGUGUGCCCCCGGCUGCUGCUGCCUACUCGUGAGUGUAAGGUUGCCAACAUAAGAAGCAAGAGUAAUUUGGAUUUGUGCUUCUUAGUAAAAAACCCUUUCCCAUUACCUGCAAAACUCCAGAAGGCAGGGGAUCUCUCACUUUGAGGAUGCCUGUAAAAUAGUGGGCAUUCUCCAAUGAUUGUUGAUGGAGUCAUGUCAUUCCUUAAAGAAAAAAUAAAUCAAAGAAAGUCACUCUUGGCUCGGGAUGGUGCAUUUGCAAGUGUUUAGGCCAAACAUGUGUUGAGAAAUUGCACAUAUACUGUGUACAUGUCAUGUCAGCAGGAAUUUGUGCUACAAAACCUCUUAUUUCACCCACUAUCUUAUCAUCUGUAUCAGGCAGACUAAGGCCUGGCAAACCAUAUGAGCCUUCAGGAGAUCUGCAGACUGAAAAGGGGAUUUGAGAUAUAGAACUCCAGAGUUCUAAAACCAAAAUGAAAAGUAGAAAGAUGAUUGUCCUGUGAAGUGGCCCCAAGCCUCAGACCAUCACCAUCUGCCUCUGGCCUCACUUGGGGGCCAAUGAAGAUACUCAGCGAGGAGCCUCUUAGCUGUGGUUGUGACUUCCUGGCUGGCCAGCCCCGAAGUAGAGGAGGAAGAAGUGUUGUGGUGAGCUCUGUGACUCAGGGUGAGGCAGCCAGGACAUGAGCCCAGCGCGCCUGCCUGGGGUUGCUGUGGAGAGGUGGUCUCGGGACAGAUGAAGCUGCAGUGGGGACUACCUCCCCUGCAGAAGCAGCUUUCUUGUCCUUCCUCAUCCAACACACCCCAACUUAAAAAACCAUUAGGCAUAACUCGGAAAGCAGGUCCAUGCUGUACCUGUGUGUGUCCCUCCAGAUUUCUUUGUUCCUCGGGGGAAAGCAGCAAUAAGCAUCACGUUCCUUUUCA